rnacentral:rRNA from 1 species
UUCACUGCAACUUGUUAUUGUGUUUAGAUUUUUGCUGCGUAGUGUAGUGGGUAGACUUUGAAGUUGUGUUUUCGGACAUAAUGGAGUCAACAAUGAAACACCCAUCUUCAAAAAUUUAAAUUCUAACCUUUACGGAAAAAACGUAUUGGGACAGUGGCUGGUGGGCAGUUUUGGUGGGGCGCUAGCCUCCCAAAAGGUAACGGAGGCGUUCAUUAAGGUCAGCUAGGCACGGAUGGAAAUCGUGCUGGUAGUGUAAAGGCACAAGCUGGCUUAACUGCAAGACCUACAAGUCGCGCAGAUGCGAAAGCAGGACUUAGUGAACCGAUCAUUCUUUGUAGAACGGUGAGAGAUCAUCGGAUAAAAGCUACUCCGGGGAUAACAGGCUGGUUUGGUCCAAGAGUUCUUAUCGACGACCAAGUUCGGCACCUUAACACAUUGGGGUGCCAUAUCAGAAAUGAUAUUCAGCCGUUUUAAUAUAUGAAAAAUUUGAGCCAAUCAUAUAUUAAAAUUAAAAAAUGGCUUAUAACGGUGGACUCCAUGUUAUAAUAAACUUUGAAUUACGAAAUGAUAGAUGCUAGGCUUGUCCAAGCAACCGACUGAGCUGUAUUUAAUAAUACAGCGAUGGAGGGAGCGAAGGGCAUAACGACGCAGAUGGCGUUUUGUAAUUCAAAGAAUAUAAAUAUUAUGGACAAUACCGUGGGAAGUCUAACGAAGUUUGAGCGACAAAUUAUUAUUGGAUCGUUAUUGGGAGAUGGGUAUAUGAGAAUUAUGCCCGGCAGAUCUAAUGCAUUUUUGGAAAU